GCAUUCUUAGCUCAGUUGGUAGAGCAUCAACCUUCUAAGUUGGGUGUCAUAGGUUCGAGUCCUGUAGAGUGUA
rnacentral:tRNA from 1 species